AGUGAACGCUGGCGGUAGGCCUAACACAUGCAAGUCGAACGGCAGCACAGUAAGAGCUUGCUCUUACGGGUGGCGAGUGGCGGACGGGUGAGGAAUACAUCGGAAUCUACUUUUUCGUGGGGGAUAACGUAGGGAAACUUACGCUAAUACCGCAUACGACCUACGGGUGAAAGCAGGGGAUCUUCGGACCUUGCGCGAUUGAAUGAGCCGAUGUCGGAUUAGCUAGUUGGCGGGGUAAAGGCCCACCAAGGCGACGAUCCGUAGCUGGUCUGAGAGGAUGAUCAGCCACACUGGAACUGAGACACGGUCCAGACUCCUACGGGAGGCAGCAGUGGGGAAUAUUGGACAAUGGGCGCAAGCCUGAUCCAGCUAUACCGCGUGGGUGAAGAAGGCAUUCGGGUUGUAAAGCCCUUUUGUUGGGAAAGAAAAGCAGCAGGUUAAUACCCCGCUGUUCUGACGGUACCCAAAGAAUAAGCACCGGCUAACUUCGUG
rnacentral:rRNA from 1 species